AUGCAUACAUGGGAUGUUAUUAAGCGCACAUUCCCCAUGACAAGUUCUGGCAGUAUCGUAAUCACCACUACUCGUAUACAUGAUGUUGCCAAAUCAUGUCAUUCAUCAUUUAGUGGGCACAUUUAUAGUAUAAGGCCCCUUAACCCGGUGCAUUCAAAAGAACUAUUUCAUGGAAGGCUGUUCAACUCUAAAGAAGAUCUCCCUUUACACCUCGAAAAAGUUUCUGAUGAAAUUUUGAAAAAAUGUGAUGGAUUACCUCUGGCAAUCAUUGCUAUAUCUGGUUUGUUGGCUAAUAGAGAGAGAACAGAGGAUGUAUGGAAGCAAGUGAAAGAUUCAAUUGGGUGUGCACUUGAAAGAAAUCCUAGCGUUGAAGUAAUGAUGAAGAUACUGUCUCUUAGUUACUUUGAUCUGCCUCCUUAUCUAAAGACAUGUCUCUUAUAUUUCAGUAUAUUUCCAGAAGAUUCUUUUAUUGAGAUGCAAAGUUUGAUAAUGAGGUGGAUAGGUGAAGAAUUCAUUCAUAAAGAAGGAAGAUAUAUGGCGCAAGAGAUAGGAGAAAGGUGUUUUAAUGAGCUCCUCAAUAGGGGUUUGAUUCAACCCGGGGAGACAAAUGAAUAUGGCGAGGUGAAGAGUUGUCGUGUUCACGACAUAAUUCUUGAUUUCAUCGUAUCCAAGUCUAUAGAAGAAAACUUUGUUACUAUAUUAAGUGUUACCACUAUGGCAGUGAGGACACAAAGCAAAGUCGUCCGGCGAUUCUCUCUACAAGGAAUCGAGGAAGAAAAUUCAACAAUAUCGAAAGCAGGUCUGGUGUUGUCCCAUGUCCGGUCACUUAAUGUGUUUGAAGGUUUUGUGGAAAUCCCUUCUUUGGGGGAGUUCAGACAUCUGCGUGUUUUCCACUUUGAUAGCUACAUGCCACUGGAAGACCAUCAUCUUGAAAAUAUAGUGAGGUUGAUGCAGCUUAGGUACCUGAACCUCCAAGGUACAAAAAUAAGUGAGCUCCCAGAACAAAUCGGGAGUUUAGGGUGCUUAGAAAUACUUAACCUAAGAUUCAAUCAUGUGAGGGAAUUACCUGCAUCUAUUGUUAAGCUUGAAAAAUUAUCACAUCUACUCGUUGAUGAUUAUGUUAAAUUUCCUGAUGGGGUCGCAAAGAUGCAAGCACUAGAGACGCUGGAAGAUGUGAGGGCCUCCAUUCAACCAUUUGACUUCCUGUGCGGACUUGGCCAGCUAAAGAAUUUGAGGAGACUGCAGCUUGACCUUAUUGUGGUUUGGGAGGACUGCAACAAGGCUAUCGCCUCUUCACUGUGUAAGCUAGGCACCCAGAAUCUCCGCUCCCUAACUAUUUAUAAAGGGAGUAGCCUCUUACACGAACCUUUGUAUCUGCCUAUGCUCGAGAAACUUAUGACAUGGUUUUCAGUCGUCCCUGAGGUUCCGAAAUGGGUGAGUUCCCUCAGAAACCUCCAACUGCUACGUCUUGAAGUGGAUGUAGUCAAGCAGGAUGAUAUCUGCAUCCUUGGUGCCUUACCCACUCUGCUCAUUCUGCAUCUGAUUGACGUAACGAAUUCAAAUGAAAAGCUCAGAAUCAGUGGUGUAGAUGGGUUCAAAUUCUUGAGGAUUUUUAUGUAUGUUACAAAUUCUCAUAAGCUAGAUCUGAUGUUUGCAGCAGGAUCCAUGCCCAAGCUAGAAAAACUCGAUCUUAGUUGUUUGCACAUACUUGAAGCUAACUAUUUGGACUUUGGAAUCGAGAACCUCCUCUGCCUCAUCACUGUAAAAUUUGUAGCAUAUGGCAGGCUUGAGGGCGUUAUUGGAGCCAUAAAGACUGCCUUGGAGAGAGCAGCCAACACACAUUCCAACCACCCUAGUGUACUCUUUGAGAGAAUUCAAUAA
rnacentral:rRNA from 1 species